rnacentral:lncRNA from 1 species
GUCAAUUUGAUUGUUGCGCUUUUAACAAACAAACUUGUUGGAAACAUGUUGAACUCUAUCAAGUCUGGAUAAAUGUUAUCACUAUUUAACUUUCUUUUUGGGCUUGUCAACAUCAAGUUUCUGUAUUAUAUAGACUUUUAUGCACUGAAAGAAUUUACAUUCCCAUUUUCAUUAAGCUAUAGUUUUGUUGUAUGUUUAAGAAACGUUUUAAUGAAGACUGUUUUUUAUUGAACAUUAAUCACUGUUGCAUUCUGUUGUUGUAGGGUGCUUUGGAUGGUGGUCUGGAUAUUCCUCACAGUGACAAGAGGUUUGCUGGUUUCAAGAAGGAUGAGAAGAACCUGGAUGCUGAGAUCCACCGCAAGUACAUCUAUGGUGGCCAUGUUGCCGACUACAUGAGGGUGAGUUGUGCAUGUUGCUUGUCAGAUUGUAACCCUUUGUUCCUUUGUGUUGAUUGUGGUAUCUAUUUGGAGGUCUUUACUAAUUCUCACCACUAUUAUUUCUUAUUAUUUUUCCAGACUCUGGCUGAGGAGGAGCCAGAGAAGUACCAGGCUCACUUCAGUGAGUACAUCAAGAAGGGAAUUGAGGCUGAUGACAUGGAAGCUCUGUACAAGAAGGUCCAUGCUGCUAUCCGUGGUGAACCUACCAUGGCCAAGAUAACCAAGCAGCCACCAAAGGAGCACAAGAGGUAUAACAAGGCAGCCACCAAUCUAGCGAACUGUUGUCUACAUCUUGAUGCCUUUACCUACCUUAAUUCCAUAAACUGCAUAGCUCUAACAAUUAUUUUUCCUUUAGGUACAACCCCAAGAAGCUGACCUAUGAGCAGAGGAAGGCCAGCCUCGUCGAAAGGCUCAACGCCCUCAACUCCUCGGGUGGUGCUGAUGACGACGAUGAUGAGGAUGACGAGUGAAGUGUAGUCCCAUCGUAGUAGUUCUAUCUUAUGUGGUGAUCUGAACUUGUGCUGUGGCACUUAUUUACCUGUAGUCCUGCAACAGGCAU